UUUAUUUACUUAUUUAUUUUGGAAAUUUUUAUUCAAUUCAUUAAUUUAGAAUAUUUUUCCAUGGUUACAUGAUUCAUAUUCUUUCCCUCCCCUCUUCCCACCCCCCUCCUGUAUACAACAUACAAUUCCACUGGGUUUUACAUGUGUCAUUGAUCAAAACUUAUUUCCAUAUUAUUGAUGUUUGCACUAGGGUGAUCAUUUAGAGUUUACAUCCCCAAUCAUGUCCCCAUAUGCACAUGUGAUUAAGCAGUUGUUUUUCUUCUAUGCUUCUGUUCUCACAGUUCUUCCUUUGCAUGUGGAUAGUGUUCUUUCUCAUAAGUCCCUCAGAAUUGUCCUGGAUCAGUGCAUUGCUGCUAAUAGAGAAGUCCAUUACAUUCAAUUGUACCUCUGUAUGUAAUGUUCUCCUGGUUCUGUUCCUUUCACUCUACAUCACUUCCUGGAGGUGGUUCCAGUUCCCAUAGAAUUCCUCAAGUUCAUUAUUCCUUUGAGCACAAUAGUAUUCUAUCACCAACAGAUACCACAAUUUGUUCAGCCAUUCCCCAAUUGAAGGGCAUCCUCUCAUUUUCCAAAUUUUUGCCACCACAAAGAGCUCAGCUAUGAAUAUUCUUGUACAAGUCUUUUUCCUUAUUAUCUCUUUGGGGUACAAACCCAGCAGUGCUAUGGCUGGAUCGAAGGUCAGACAGUCUUUUAUCGUCCUUUGGGCAUAGUUCCAAAUUGCCCUCCAGAAUGGUUAGAUCAAUUCACAUCACCAGCAAUGCAUUAAUGUCCCUAUUUUGUGUGAUGCCUUAUUUAGUGGCAGUUUGGAUGCAAUGAACAAGUUUAUGAUCCUGAAGUAACAACCAGCAGCCAGUCGAAGGAAUUAGGUUGCUCUCUCCUCAAUUUCUCAGAAGUGCGUGCUACAAGUUCAUCUUCAUUCUCUGCUUCCCAACCCAUCGCUGCAACCUAGGAAAAAGGAGAAAUUGUUCAUCAGAUCAGUGCUGAAGUCUCAAGAAGUCUCAAGGAGAUGCCACCUUUUAUUACAUGAAAACAAACCCCAGCACCCCCAAAGUAUUGCUUCUUGCCAAAACAGCACCGAGUGCUAGAGCAUUGCAGAGA